rnacentral:rRNA from 1 species
AGUGAACGCUGGCGGUAGGCCUAACACAUGCAAGUCGAACGGCAGCACAGUAAGAGCUUGCUCUUACGGGUGGCGAGUGGCGGACGGGUGAGGAAUACAUCGGAAUCUACUUUUUCGUGGGGGAUAACGUAGGGAAACUUACGCUAAUACCGCAUACGACCUACGGGUGAAAGCAGGGGAUCUUCGGACCUUGCGCGAUUGAAUGAGCCGAUGUCGGAUUAGCUAGUUGGCGGGGUAAAGGCCCACCAAGGCGACGAUCCUGAGCUGGUCUGAGAGGAUGAUCAGCCACACUGGAACUGGGACACGGUCCAGACUCCUACGGGAGGCAGCAGUGGGGAAUAUUGGACAAUGGGCGCAAGCCUGAUCCAGCCAUACCGCGUGGGUGAAGAAGGCCUUCGGGUUGUAAAGCCCUUUUGUUGGGAAAGAAAAGCAGCAGGUUAAUACCCCGCUGUUCUGACGGUACCCAAAGAAUAAGCACCGGCUAACUUCGUG